UGAGGAACAUGAUCUUCGGCGGGGAUAGCCGGCCAACGGCCGGGUAAUACCGCGUACGACCACUCGGGGACAUCCCUAGGUGGUGAAAGCAGCAAUGCGCCGAUGGAGUGCCUCGCGGCCUAUCAGCUAGUUGGUGAGGUAACGGCUCACCAAGGCGACGACGGGUAGCUGGUCUGAGAGGAUGGCCAGCCACAUUGGGACUGAGACACGGCCCAGACUCCUAGGGACGG
rnacentral:rRNA from 1 species